CCUACGGGUGGCAGCAGUGAGGAAUAUUCGUCAAUGGACGCAAGUCUGAACCAGCCAUGCCGCGUGCAGGAAGACGGCUCUAUGAGUUGUAACCUGCUUUUGUACGAGGGUAAACGCAGAUACGCGUAUCCUUCUGAAUUUAUCUUACGAUUCAGGAUCGGCUAACCCCGUGCCAGCAGCCGCGGUAAUACGGAGGAUUCAGGCGUUAGCCGGAUUUCUUGGGUUUAAAGGGUGCGUAGGCGGUCGGAUAAGUUAGAGGUGAAAUCCCGAGGCUCAACUUCGAAAGUGCCUCUGAUACGGUUGGGCUAGGGAGAAGAGGCGGUAGGCGGAAUGUAUGGUGUAGCGGUGAAAGGCU
rnacentral:rRNA from 1 species